UACGUAGGGGGCAAGCGUUGUCCGGAUUUAUUGGGCGUAAAGAGCGUGUAGGCGGCCAGACAGGUCAGCUGUAGAAAACUCGAGGCUCAACCUCGAGACGUCGGUUGAAACCGGUCUGGCUAGAGUCCGGAAGAGGAGAGUGGAAUUCCCGGUGUAGCGGUGAAAUGCGCAGAUAUCGGGAGGAACACCGGUGGCGAAGGCGGGUCUCUGGGGCCGAUACUGACGCUGAGGAGCGAAAGCGUGGGGAGCAAAC
rnacentral:rRNA from 1 species